CUAGGGAGUGGAAUUUGCUUCUUAGAAGCUUCAUAUAGGUAUUCAAAAGCUCAUGCAAAGAAGAGUUCGACAAGAACCUGAGGAAAAGAACAACAAUCAAAUGGAUUAUUGGGAAUGGUUCCUGAAUGCUCCUGUUUUCCUUCCAGAAUGGUGCUUCCUCAAACCUGACUUUAAUUGCAGUUUGACAUGCUGGUUUUUCCCAUUGACAAUUCAAUGAUUGAGACAAUAUAUAGGUUGAAAAAAGAGGGUGAGAAGAGCCACCCAACCUCAUCUGAAAAGGUAUGCGUUGGAUCAUACUACUUUCUGAUCAUCAAACCGAGAUGUACAUCUCACUGUGUAUCGGAGAAAGUAAUCAGCGUGACCCACAUACAUUCCCCUUCGUCGACUAACGCAGGCCACAGAAAUUAACAAGGUGAUAAAAUUUGGAUAUCUUUGAGCGGAAAUGACACAAGUGCCCUGUUAUUAUAAUUGCCUUGCGAAGACGAGAGAGGAUGAUUUGUGUGGCUUGUAAUAAACAAAUGCACACAAGGGAGACAUAACAAAUGAGGGCAUUUUGGUAUUUAUCAUCAUUAGAUUACAUAACUUGCCUACAUAACAUAAUUUUAAAAAAUGCAUAAUGUACAUUAUUCACUUGGAAAGGACAAGGUCGGUAUUCUAGUGACUAGUACACUUUAGAUUCAGUGGUUGUAGUACUUGUGAUUUUAAUUACCAGCAUUGUUUGUUUUUAUCCUAUGCAAGGCACGAAAAUCCAGUUUUUCCUCAAAAGUAAAAGGAAGAAAACCCAUGUCCGCUUUAUGUUUACAGAAUUUUCUUGUGAAAUGUCUACUUUCGCGCCUCAAUAGUCAUAUAGUUUUGUCAGCAUCAGUCAGGUGUGAUGUUGACUGUUUUGGAGAUAACUGUAAUGUUAAAGUAAGCUCAGACUUUUGGCCUUUCCAGGCUAUCAAGAGGCAACUUAACAACUGCUAAUGAUCUGACAGGUCGACCUAAGAAAUUUUCAACAAUUUUCCAUUGUACAGAAAACACAAAGGGAUCAGCUAUUGACCACAUCUGCUGGUAGAUCAAGUCAUCCUUAGUUCUCUCCCCAUGUCAUUUAUAUUAUUGCACUGUUGGUCAACAUUGUAGUUGUGACCAUCAUGUAACAUUUUUUGUCAACAUAGACUUUUUGAAUUCUGUUACAACUUAAGUUGAUAAAUUCAAGAAGCUCAGUAACUUUUUUUCGGAUAGUACGUAUUUUUCAAAUGGGGGUCAAGUACAUAUUAUCACACCGUCAGUCAAUAUUGUGAGCUGCGACCAUCAUGGCAACUCUUUUUUUCGUCGGUGGACUUUUGAAUUCUGAUACAGUUGAUAAAUCCAAGUUCAGUAACUUUACUUCAGAUAUAUGUACAGGUCAAGUACAUAUAUAUUUCACCAUUGGUCAAUAUUGUGAGCUGUGGCCAUCAUGGUCAAGUAGUACAUAUCAUUGCACCGUUGGUCAACAUUGUGGGCUGUGAUCAUCAUGGUCAAGUAUAAUUUAUCAUUUCAGAUUUCAAAGACAAGUACAGACGUGUGUCCAUCAAAUCAGUCUCUCUGCUAGGCAGGCUGACAGCUGUAUCAACUAGCAGACUUUUCUAGGUCAAGGAGUACCCAUCAGAACGGUUCCUCUCAAGCUUUUGAGUUGAAUUGUCCCAUUCGUUCUCAUGCAAGUCAAGAUACUUGUUUAGCCUGAACACUGCAAGAGACAAACGCAGCGACCCGGUUUCAGUUCAUUUUCUACAGGAUAAUACUCGGUCUAUAUCAUUGUUCUGUUAUUUGUCCAACAAAAAUAACUUAGUCCGAAAUCGUUUGGCGAUACAAUUUCUUUAUAA